rnacentral:lncRNA from 1 species
GGUGUCCAAGGUCAUUUUAUUCAAAAUACUGUGCAUACCAGUGUACCAUAUUUUGGAGUGGCAGUCCUUGGAUUUCUUCACCAUAUAGUUGAGAGACCAACUAGUGACAACAACCAAAGAAGGGGGAAAAAAAAAGAAACAGAACUACAGGACAUAUGAAACAAUGACUUAAAAAGAGGCAGUGACAUUCUCACCACCUGCCCUGUUGUCUCCUGAGGUAUCAGCAGCUGCUCCAAGGAGAACACUAUCUAUGUCAUACAUGGCAAUUGCUUGAAUGAUUUUCUACAGAGACUUGCUAUUUUUCCGUUGACAAGCAUCAUUCAUAAGGGCAGUGGCAUGUCAUAGUCGUCGGUUUUUCUUUGCUGUGGUCUGCUCUUAUGGAUAUGGAAAAGUAAAAUCAAUCUGUGAGAGGAACCACAUUCUUUGCUUCUACUUCCAGGCUUAUUAUCUUUAUUAAGUGACAUUCCCAUCCAUCAGGAGUUGAGUCUAAUCUAUGGGAGAAUAAGGGAGGACGACAGAAGGGCCUUAUGCAAUUGCCAAGACAACACGUUAGGAAAAAGGGCUUCAACUUCUUGUGCUCCAUCUGCUGCAGGUUCAUAUUGGCCUUCUAAUCUGGAUGUGCUCUCUGAAUCUCCACUGGAGGUG